rnacentral:rRNA from 1 species
GAUGAACGUUGGCGGCGUGCCUAAUACAUGCAAGUCGAGCGAAUGGAUUAAGAGCUUGCUCUUAUGAAGUUAGCGGCGGACGGGUGAGUAACACGUGGGUAACCUGCCCAUAAGACUGGGAUAACUCCGGGAAACCGGGGCUAAUACCGGAUAACAUUUUGAACCGCAUGGUUCGAAAUUGAAAGGCGGCUUCGGCUGUCACUUAUGGAUGGACCCGCGUCGCAUUAGCUAGUUGGUGGGGUAACGGCUCACCAAGGCAACGAUGCGUAGCCGACCUGAGAGGGUGAUCGGCCACACUGGGACUGAGACACGGCCCAGACUCCUACGGGAGGCAGCAGUAGGGAAUCUUCCGCAAUGGACGAAAGUCUGACGGAGCAACGCCGCGUGAGUGAUGAAGGCUCUCGGGUCGUAAAACUCUGUCGUUAGGGAAGAACAAGUGCUAGUUGAAUAAGCUGGCACCUUGACGGUACCUAACCAGAAAGCCACGGCUAACUACGUGCCAGCAGCCGCAGUAA